rnacentral:lncRNA from 1 species
GUUCUUCCUAAGCUCCCUUCUGUGUUCCCAGACCUUUCUUUUUGUCAGUGGAAAAGGAGAACACGAUCCAUUCUUCAGCACAAUAGCCGUUCCCGUACUUUCAGAUUUAUUCAUUGAGUUUCCUCCAGCCUCACCUUCUCUUGAUUAAAUAAGGUUUCUGCUGGUCUCAGACCUGUCAUCGAGAGUUCUCACUUUCAUUGUGCAUAGAAAACGAUCAGAAGAAACUCACCCAGGACAGACCAAAAGCCACAGGAAGCUCUGCCCAUUGGAGCCUCGCCAUCUCCAACCAUCAGAAUGGAGAUUCUCCCAGAGCAAAAGCAUCCUGCAGGAGCACAAGACAGAUAUUGGAGGGAAGUUCACAUGUUUCUGCCUGAGACUGGGGCUCUGGUAGGAAACUUCAGAGGAAGACACGCUCUGGAAGAAAGCAUGCUAAACCUACUUAGACAUCAAAUUCACAACCAAUUGCAGCCCCCAAAGGGAAGGUCUCACUCACAUCUUGGGCUGAGACACAGGCUUUCCCUGGGGCAAUUCCCCUCAUAGUGCCCCAUCUUGCUCCCUUAGGCUCCUGCAUUUCUCUCUGUCACUCCCUCUCCAACCUUCUCCCCAGGAUUUCCCUUUUCUUCUUUCAUCCUCUUUUUUUACUGCCACUCUCUAUAGCUCUUCUCCCUGUAGCUUCUCCUUUCUUCCCUUUCCCCCCCGCAAGGAGCUGAUAAGCCUGUGUUUUUUGUUUGUUUGUUUCUUUGUUUGUUUUGAGAUGGAGUCUCACUCUGUUGCCCAGGCUGGAGUGCAGUGGCGUGAUCUCGGCUCACUGCAACCUCCGCCUCCCAGGUUCAAGCAAUUCUCCUGCCUCAGCCUCCCAAGUAGCUGAAAUUACAGGCGCGCACCACCACAGCCAGCUAAUUUUUGUAUUUUUUUAAUAGAGAUGGGGUUUCACCAUGCUGGUCAGGCUGGUCUCGAACUCCUAACCUCGUGAUCCACCUGCCUCUGCCUCCUAAAGUACUGGGAUUACACGUGUGACCCACUGUGCCUGGCCAAGCCUGUGUUUUAAGUCUGGGUGGCGUUAAUGGGGAAUAGAUGCUUAGAAAACAAAAUAAUUUGCAACACUAGCAUCUGCCUUCCAUGGGAUUCUCUUGCUGAUUCCUUCUUAACCGGACCUAGCUAGUGGAUUAUACAUUUGGUUUGCUGUUUUCCUUUAUCCAGGAAGUUCUUAAAGAAGUCUUGUAUUACAGUGCACAUUUAAUUACUCACUGUUGCCUACCCUGCUAUUUAUGUGUUUAUUUUUGCCAAAUAAUUCUACAGAUUUCUCAGUAACUGGCUAGUUAAAACCCUUCUGCAUUCUCUUCUUCUUAAUGAAAGUCCAGGCCUCCCUGUAUUGAUAGAAUCAUCUUUUAUACAUGUGAAUAAAUUGGCAAACUCUAUUUCUAAAAUGUCCACAGAUUUCCCCUUCUAACCUGCUCUCAGGGAGUUAUUUCUUGGCCUUGGGCUUAUCUGGAAAGGAUGCUGUGUAAAAAAAAAAAAAAAAAAAAAAAAAAAAAGGACAUUAUUUUUGUUUUCAGAACUCUUCUGGGCAGAGAGACUUCUUUUUAUUUAUUUUGUAAUUAGCUGUUCUGGAGCUAUUUUUCAAAAUCACCCAUGAAAAGAGGCAGAGAACCCUAGUGUAUCACAGUGAGCCUUUCAUCAUGUGCCCAUGCAAUCAAGCUGUUCUGUGACCAUCCAGGAGGGCUAUGAGAGACAGCAUCCCCUUGUAAAGUUUUGAAUUUGAACAUUGCAUCCCUUUCCUGGCUUCAUGGUCCCUGGGGGUUUGGGGAUGGCAAGAUAUAGCGCCUAUACCAUCUGACCUAAUGACCAAGGGGAGUGGCAGUCUUCAUGCCCAGGCAAAGUCAGUCUCCACGGCUUGCAGAUUCUUAGAUGAUUCACAACGCUCCUGAUUAAUAUCACAGAAGCCUCAAUACUGCAGUGAUUUGGCAAUCUCUGUGGGUGGGUGGGAAGCGUGCGCAUGUGUGUGCAUGGUGUAGAGUUGCACAUGCUGCAACGAGGAAAACCCGGAUCCCAAUUUCUCUCUUGGGAAAACAUUAAAGCACAGCCAAAAUAACCAACAGAACUGCCUGUGUCUACACAUCAAUAUUGAGCUUUAUGAAAUUAUACAAUCUGAAUAAACAAUUCUGAAUGCACCAAACCAGUAAAUACAUAUUAGCAGUUUUUAAGCAGAACAAUCUCCUCACUCACAGUGUAUGCACAUGCUGGCUCAAUUCACAGACUUUACCUGUCCCCCAGUAUAGACAAAGAGUUUUUCAUUUUAAAGCUACACAAAGAUUAUGAACACAGAAUCUUU